UACAGAGGGUGCGAGCGUUGUUCGGAAUUACUGGGCGUAAAGCGCGCGCAGGCGGCCCAUUAAGUCCCUCGGUCAAAUGCCGGGGCUCAACCCCGAGCGUGCCGAGGAUACUGGCGGGCUGGAGACACGUAGAGGCAAGCGGAAUUCCGGGUGUAGCGGUGGAAUGCGUAGAGAUCCGGAAGAACACCGGUGGCGAAGGCGGCCUGCUGGGCAGUAGCUGACACUGAGGCGCGACAGCGUGGGGAGCAAACAGG
rnacentral:rRNA from 1 species